rnacentral:lncRNA from 1 species
ACUUUUUAAUUUUUUCGUAGAGCAAGAAGAAUAAGAAGAUGAAGAUGAUAAAGGAAAAGAAGAAUGAGAAAAGGAGGAAGAAGAAUAAGAAAAAAGAAGAAGAAAUUGAGAAAGAAAGAAGGCAGUCAAGAAAGAACGAGAAAGAAAGAAAAAGGGGAAGAGAGAGAAAGAGGGGGGUUGUUUAUUUAUUUAUUUAAUUAUUUAUUUUAAUAUUUAAUAUUUUUUAUAUUAAAA